GUUAAAAGCACUUUAUGUUUUGUAGGUUUAUUUUCUUCAGACAGGGCGCACACAGUCCUGUCUCCUUUGUGGCAAAACCUUCAAACUUCACCAUCCUCAGCUGAAACAACAACAUCUUAACACCAUCUUCAUGAACUGCUGAGCCAAACCUGAUCCAUCAGUGCUGGACUGCACAGAUAACUACAUGUCACACAGACACUGCUGUUUUAUGAACUACCAUAUCAGUGUGGCAACAGUGGAGAAGAUCACAUCACCUGACCUCCUGCCUAAUCUAGAGACCAUCACCAUGCUGCCACAGUCGACACCUGUGAAACCAUCAAGGAUGACUCAUACUGAGGAAACUGUACUGCCUGUCAGAGUCCAGUGAUCUACAGAGCAGAGAAAGGUACUGCUGUCUUCUGAGUUUUUCAGUUUCCAAACUGGGACAUUCAAACCUCAUCACUUGAGCUUGUGUCUAUCUUCACCAAUCUCACACUCACAUGGUGUGAGAUUGCUCUGGAUUCUGGUUAUUGGCCUGCAGCACCUAUGAGAACAAGCUCGUCCUGCAUGCCUGCAUUCCAGCUUCUUAGACUCUACACAAGUGGACAGAGUGUCAGUGUUUGACCACUCUUAGACACCAACUUCUGUCACCUCACUCCAGGAAGACAGGGCUGCAAGCUUGUCAUCAUUUCCAGUGUGACUUGGGGAACUCUUGGGGUAGCAUCAGAUUUUUCCCACAAAUAUUCAAAGAUUUAGAUGCAGUGAUCGAAUGUGCUGCAGCUUUGUUAACUAUUUGGAAAACAUCUGUUUGUGAUGGUAUUUAAAAUGAGGCUUUAAGGUGACAGUUUCCACGUAAAUUCAGUCCUUUUACUAAACAAAAACAUUUUUUAAUUUACAUUCUUUUUAUUUGUUUUAGCAGCACAUCAUUGGUCAAAGGUAAAAAGAGCCACAUGUUACACCAACAAUGACUUUUUGACUCUGUUUGUGUCACCAGAUUUAACAAACAAUAUCAGACCUAUGAAAUAAGUAACUGCACCAUUUUUGGAUAAAUGUGCAAUUAUAUUGUUUUGUAUUUUCAAUUGUUGAAUAAUUAUGUUGUAGAACAAACCCAAUCUGUUUAGCCAAACAAUGUAACUUGUUUGGUUAAAUAGUGGAUUUGUAUAAUUUUAGUCUAUAAGUAUAGCAAGCUGAAUUCAUACAAACACACAGCUCUAAAUCUUGAAUUGUAGGAUGCACAAUAAUGAUCAUUUGAUUAUUAUGGACAUUUAAAUCAGAAUCUAUUGAACCAUUACACAUAUUCUUUAUAGAGAUUACACAACCUCAAAAUGUGAAAAAAAAGAAAGUGUUUAAGAGGAUAAAGAAAGAAAGCUCAAAGUGUGUUUGUAUGAAUACUGCCUUAGCAUGGGGUGUCAGUAAGUACAUGAGUAUAGAAUAGGUGUAACAGUGGUUUUCCACAUCUGUGCUUAGACUGCUCUAAUAUAUAUAGAUAAUGGGUCAGACAUAUAGUUUGACCCAUUAAGUCUAUUUGAAAAGUUUAUGAAGUUCAUGAAGAUCACAUCCAGUCAUAUGUGUUUCUGUUUAUCAUUUUAUGAGAUCACACAGCUGACAUGAGUUUUGAUCAGAGUAGAACCAUAACAUUCAUGUUGGUGAGUCUACUGUUUACAGCUACUUUAUGAUAAAUUCCAUCCUGGUCACAGCACUAUGUGAAAAGCUGUAAGAGGUAAAGUUAACCCAAUUAAUACCUGAUCAUAAAUCACUCUCUAACACAGGGCAGUGAUUAUUUUUCAAUGUAAUUUAUUCCACAGCAAUGUUUUGUAUUUUAUCCCUGUUUCUUUAAACAUGUGCAUCAAUUGUUCAGCUGUGUGACUCUCCAUACCUGAAAUAUAUCACAAUGUGAACUUCAUUUCAACAAUAUUCUGUACUUUAUCAUCAAAUUAGGAAAGCUAAACUAAAACUAAACUAAAUGAAAAACAGAAGCUCUUGGGAGUUUUAAUGUAGUUGUAAUGUUGUUUAUCCUUGCCAUACUGGAUGUGCACAAAACUCCAGCAAUUCAGAGAAUAUAUUUUGUCUCUCAUUUCCUGUUUAUAUAUGUAUAUAUUUUUGCAGUUAAUAGCGUAUCAUGUGUCUGUGCAUCUUAGGGCCAUAAAUGUAAACAUGGCAAAGAAGGAUGUAUUCACAAUUCCAACGGAUGCUUCAAUUGUUUGUAUAGAUUUUAGAUUAAUUUGUAAUGUAAUUAAUGUAAAUUAAUGUAACUAUGUAAAAAUCAUGUUUCUGUUCUGUGUCCUGUUCUGU